GUUGGCACCAUCAUCAGCGGUGGUGAGGGACAGGCCGCCAGCGUGCAGUCGGUGCUGGAGCGAAACCGGAGUCUGCACGAGGCCAACGCCCAGCUGAGCAGGGAGCUGCAGGUGUCUGUGGAUCACACGGCGCACCUGCGUGAGAAGCUCAUCCUGUCGGAGAUGGAGCGCCAGAAGCUGCUGGCGCGCUUUGCCGAGCUGAAGGAUCAUGAAGCGUGCCGGCUUGACAUCAUGUCCCUAGUGGACACGCAGACUGAUGAGGGGGGGCUCAGGCAGCAGCUGCAGCUACUGCUGAGUUUUCAGGAACUCAUCAAUGAGCUGGAGGUACCACCACCACCACCAUCGAAACAUCCUCACUCUCUCACUCACUCACUCUCUCACUCAG